GAUGAAGAACGCAGCGAAAUGCGAUAAGUAAUGUGAAUUGCAGAAUUCAGUGAAUCAUCGAAUCUUUGAACGCACAUUGCGCCCGCCAGUAUUCUGGCGGGCAUGCCUGUUCGAGCGUCAUUACAACCCUCAGGCCCCCGGGCCUGGCGUUGGGGAUCGGCGGAAGCCCCCUGCGGGCACAACGCCGUCCCCCAAAUACAGUGGCGGUCCCGCCGCAGCUUCCAUUGCGUAGUAGCUAACACCUCGCAACUGGAGAGCGGCGCGGCCACGCCGUAAAACACCCAACUUCUGAAUGUUGACCUCGAAUCAGGUAGGAAUACCCGCUGAACUUAAGAAUAUCAAUAAGCGGAGGA
rnacentral:misc_RNA from 1 species